rnacentral:rRNA from 1 species
AUGGCGUUCAGCGGCGCCCAGAUGCUCGCUGCCUUCACCCUGGGCUUUCUUCUCAUGGCCUUCUGUGCGGAGGCUCGGGUAUGCAUGUCCCCUAGCAAGUUCUAUAAAAGGAGCCCUUGCAAGAACGUGCGUUGCACCGCGGCCUGUCACAAAGAGCACUUCAAGGGUGGUUACUGCUCCAGUAAGAAGUCAAUUGUAGGCGACGAGCUCAAGGAAGACAACGACGACAACCGCUUUCGCAAACCUCCUAAGAAAACGAGGUGCAUCUGUACAUUUCCAUGCGGCUCUAAGGCCCCACCACCACCGUCAGAACCUGAAGUGCCAGAGCCACCGGGUGAACCCGUGGUGCCGGAGCCGCCAUCCAAAGAUCCUAAGAAGAAGCCGCCACCGCCGCCAUAUGAACGUGGCAUGCCGGUGCCGCCCUCGAGAGAACACAAGAAGAAGCUGCCGCCAGCUGCCGACCAGUGA